rnacentral:lncRNA from 1 species
CAAAUGUUUAGUGAGGGACUCAAUUGCUGCCGCCUCCUGGCUUUCAGGGCAGGCAAGGAAGCGGCAGAGAUGUCUGGGCACACAGUGUGAAGGCAGCUUUGCUCAAACAUGUCCUAGUUGAUCAGUUAAUUGAUAGUGAUUAAAAACCAGCUCUGCCUUGGGGAAUUAUUACUGGUUUUGCGAAGUUCUCAAAAACAUCAUCUUCAGUCUCUAACUCCCACUCCAUCUCCCCACCAAAAAAAGAGAGAGAAAAAAAAUACCCAGUGAUUUCCAAACCUAUCUUCACAUUAGAAUCGGGGGGAAGGAGAUGAGAAGAUCUUUUAAAUGUUCCAAAGUCCAGGCCACACUUCACACCAAUUAAACCACAAUCUCUGGUGGAGGGACAGAAAUAUCAGUAGUUCUUAAAGCAUCCAGGUGAGUCCGAUGUGUAGAUUGGGCUGGGAAUCACCACCCUAUCUUAUUCUCAUACUGCAGUGGCACUAUUCAAGAUGCUGGGCCCAAUAAAAGAGACCCUUUUUACUUAGCUGAAAGCAAGAAAUUAGUUGACCUUGCUUGCUGCUUCUGUGAACUUUUUGAUCCCUAAAACAAAAUUAAGAUUAGGUUUAUUCAAUCACUUCCUUCUAAAUAUGACCUUCCAUUCUAAAGCAACAACUCAGCAGAAUACCAAGGACCCUCAGGAGGACAUUGACAUAUUUGUUCACUAAACAGUGUGACAAAAAUACAGCUUCCUUUUGUCUGUGCAUCAUUAUCUCAUGUCAUACAAACAUUCCAAAUCUGCAUUCAGUGCCAAGCAAUAGGCGAACACUCUCACAAACUAUUAAACCAUAAGUGGAAUA